UACAGAGGGGGCAAGCGUUGUUCGGAAUCACUGGGUGUAAAGGGUGCGUAGGCGGUCCGUUAAGUCUGAUGUGAAAGCCCUCGGCUCAACUGGGGAAUGGCAUUGGAAACUGGCGGGCUAUUGAGUACCGGAGAGGGAAGCGGAAUUCCUGGUGUAGCGGUGAAAUGCGUAGAUACCAGGAGGAACACCGGUGGCGAAGGCGGCUGCCUGGCCGAGUACUGACGCUGAGGCACGAAAGCGUGGGGAGCAAACGGG
rnacentral:rRNA from 1 species